rnacentral:rRNA from 1 species
AUGUGAUCGUCUCUCGCAUAUCAAUAAGCGGAGGAAAAGAAACUAACAAGGAUUCCCUUAGUAACGGCGAGUGAAGCGGGAAGAGCUCAAAUUUGAAAUCUUCAAGGUUUUACCUUGACGAAUUGUAGUUUAAAGAAGUGUCUUCUGUUGAAGUUUUGGUAAAAGUUCUUUGGAAUAGGACAUCAUAGAGGGUGAGAAUCCCGUAUUUGACCAUUAUUUUCAGCUGUGUGAUACACUUUCAAAGAGUCGGAUUGUUUGGGAAUGCAGUCCAAAAUGGGUGGUAAAUUUCAUCUAAAGCUAAAUAUUGGCGAGAGACCGAUAGCGAACAAGUACCGUGAGGGAAAGAUGAAAAGAACUUUGAAAAGAGAGUUAAACAGUACGUGAAAUUGUCAAAAGGGAAGCGUUUGACACCAGUGUUGUUUUCUCGAAAAUCAAUUAAAAAGAGUUUGAUUUUGUUGUGUAUUGACCUUAACAGCUUGCAUUUCAAUUUUCUUGCUUUUUUUAAUGCACUUUUCGUUUAACAAGUCAACAUCAGUUUCUUUUGUUGUAAAAAGGUCAUUGGAAGGUGGCUUUCUUUUCGGAGAAAGUGUUUAUAGCCUUUGACUCCUGCAAUCGGAGAGACUGAGGUCUGCAGCGUAGAUCCUUCGGGGUUAGAUACAUUUGUGCUAAGUUAUAGCUUUUUAUAGACAACUUGUUGACUAUGAUUAGUCUUGUAGCUUACUCGCUUAUGCUAUUUUACCUACGCUUAGGAUGUUGAAGAUGUAGCACAUCAU